rnacentral:rRNA from 1 species
GACGAACGCUGGCGGCGUGCUUAACACAUGCAAGUCGAACGGAAAGGCCCUGCUUUUGUGGGGUGCUCGAGUGGCGAACGGGUGAGUAACACGUGAGUAACCUGCCCUUGACUUUGGGAUAACUUCAGGAAACUGGGGCUAAUACCGGAUAGGAGCUCCUGCUGCAUGGUGGGGGUUGGAAAGUUUCGGCGGUUGGGGAUGGACUCGCGGCUUAUCAGCUUGUUGGUGGGGUAGUGGCUUACCAAGGCUUUGACGGGUAGCCGGCCUGAGAGGGUGACCGGCCACAUUGGGACUGAGAUACGGCCCCGACUACUACGGGAGGCAGCAGUGGGGAAUAUUGCACAAUGGGCGGAAGCCUGAUGCAGCAACGCCGCGUGCGGGAUGACGGCCUUCGGGUUGUAACCCGCUUUCGCCUGUGACGAAGCGUGAGUGACGGUAAUGGGUAAAGAAGCACCGGCUAACUACGUG